UACGUAGGGGGCAAGCGUUGUCCGGAAUCAUUGGGCGUAAAGAGCGUGUAGGCGGCCUGGUAAGUCCGCUGUGAAAGUCCAGGGCUCAACCCUGGAAUGCCGGUGGAAACUGUCAGGCUCGAGUCCGGAAGAGGCGAGUGGAAUUCCUGGUGUAGCGGUGAAAUGCGCAGAUAUCAGGAGGAACACCGGUGGCGAAGGCAAUCCCCUGGGCCUGCACUGACGCUCAUGCACGAAAGCGUGGGGAGCAAACAGG
rnacentral:rRNA from 1 species